CCCCUCCCCUCUCCUUCCCCCUCGGCUCUGCCUCAGGGCCACAGAGGCGCGGAAACCGCGCAGUAGGGGUCGGAAUGUCGCGCGUUUGACCUGCGCUUGAAGGAGAGGAACAGAGGCACGGCAACGGACGUGACUGCCUAGAGUUACCAGAGAGGCGCCGGGGCCCUUCGCCCUGACCUGGUCCAGGCUCCCUUCUCCAUCCCACCUCCCGCAGGUGCUGGGCGUGGUUGGCCAGGAGGUUUAGAAGCCGAGGAUGGGUAGAUGGUUGAGUUCUGGCACGCGAGAUGUCAAGGGUUAGCUUCUGACGGCAGUGGUAGCAAAGAGGUCUGCAGCCCCAAACGCUGGCAGGGUUAAAAUGUCUGUGAUGUUUUGUUAGAAUGGUCUUUUGUCAGGGACUCGCAUAUAUUUUUGCUUCUGCAGUUAAGGACUUCAUUGCACAUUUUAAAACACAAACUUCCCCUGCUCUGAUACGAUUUUCCGUUUUGAGGUUCCUGGAAUUUCUGAGUGUGUCAUUUGUGAGUGCUCGCGCGCGCGCGCGCGCGUGUGUGUGUGUGUGUGUGUGUGCUGAAUUAAAUUGGUGGUGGCAGAUGAAUCGAGAGAGACUACUUAGCUGCAAGAGUACUGGAGGGAGGUAGGAGCCUGGGCUUUUGCCUUGCUGUAGUUAUGGUUACCUAAUAGCAAAAGCAAAUCAUUUCGCCUCUCCAGCCUCCAGGCUUCCUAAUCUACUUUUAUUUUUUUUGGUACCGGGGAUUGAACUCAGGUCCUUGCGCUUUCCAGGCAGGCCACCGAACCGCUGAGCUAAAUCCCCGACGUAAUCUACUUUUAAAAUGGAGUUGAAUUGACGUUGAUAUCCAGGACUUUUUCUAGAUUUUAUCCUGUGGUGAAAUUGCUCCUCACAAGGAGGUGACUACUUUGGCUGACACUGAGCAAAGGUGGGACUUUGGCGUUUUGCAAGGGUCAGUCGGUGUACCUCCUGGUGAUCCUUGGAAUCCUACAGUUGUGGAGAUGGGAGGAGGGGUGACUGAGAAGAUUGUCAUGUUCUCUUGCCACUUCCCCCUUUUAAAUUGAAAGGCCACUGUGACCACAGUUGAAGUGAUUUUGCCAAGGUGGUAAAUUCGUCCCAAGAUCUAGAUCCAGAUUUCUUGUUUCCUGUCUUUUCUACACCUGAAAUUCAGUAUUUGCCAGAGGGUUACCAUGUAUAUUUAACUGAAAAUAAUUUAAAAACUUACAUUAGUAUGUCUGAAAAAUUUGUCAGUUGCAAACAUAAUUUUUUAGCAUCCAGAUGCCAUAGUAGGACAAAGCUGUAUUGUAUGGAGUGAGGGCAGAAUGCCCUUCUGUCCUUCACCUCCUUCUCCAGCACUGCUUUCUCUUGCCAGGUGGACAAGAUUGUGGACCAGCUACAGCAGUUAAUGCAGGUGUAUGACUUAGCUGCCCUUCGGGAUUAUUGGAGCUACCUGGAGCGUAGACUCUUCAGCCGCUUGGAGGAUAUAUAUAGACCCACCAUCAACAAGCUGAAAACCAGCCUGUUCCGCUUUUAUCUUGUCUACACUAUCCAGACAAACAGAAAUGACAAGGCUCAGGAGUUCUUUGCAAAGCAGGCCACGGAGCUCCAGAACCAGGCCGAGUGGAAGGAUUGGUUUGUCCUGCCCUUCUUGCCAUCCCCAGACACCAACCCCACCUUUGCUACCUACUUUUCUCGACAGUGGGCUGACACCUUCAUCGUGUCCCUGCACAACUUCCUGAGUGUCCUGUUUCAAUGCAUGCCAGUUCCUGUGAUCUUGAACUUUGAUGCGGAGUGCCAGAGGACCAACCAGAUUCAAGAAGAAAAUGAAAUUCUGCGUCAGAAGCUUUUUGCCUUACAAGCUGAAAUUCACCGGCUGAAGAAGGAAGAGCAACAGCCCGAAGAGGAAGAGGCCUUGGUCCAACACAAAUUGCCUCCUUAUGUCUCCAGUAUGGACCGCCUGGGGGACUCUGAACUGGCCAUGGUGUGCAGCCAGAGGACUGCCUCCCUCUCCCAGUCACCUCGAGUAGGCUUCUUGUCCUCGCUGCUGCCUCAGAGUAAGAAGAGCCCCUCAAGGUUGUUGCCUGCCCAGGGACCCCCUCCAGCUCUGAGCUCAUCCAAGAAAGAGUCCUUCAGCAGUCAGGGCACCAAGGGAAAGGACCUGACAGCUGGGGCCAAGGAUGGGAAGAGCCUUCUGGGCGGGCCGGGCCCUGGAGAGUCAAGUUGGGCUCAGCAGCGGCAGCGGCGCCUGCAAGACCAUGGCAAGGAGCGGAAGGAGCUCUUCUCCACCACCUCUUCCCAGUGUACAGAGAAGAAGCCUGAAGCCAGUGUCCCAGAAGCUGAGCCCUCCCCAGAUCUUCACAUGGAGCUAAUGGAACCUCUGACAAGGGUGUCCACAGCCGGGCCUGAGGGAGCAGGAGGCCGCACAGAGCAGCCCUUCAUCGUGCUGAGUCAGGAGGAGUAUGGGGAGCACCACUCGUCCAUCAUGCACUGCAGAGUGGAUUGCUCAGGGAGGAGAGUCGCCAGCCUAGAUGUAGAUGGGGUCAUCAAAGUGUGGUCCUUCAACCCCAUCAUGCAGACCAAAGCAUCCUCCAUUUCCAAGUCACCGCUUCUCUCCCUGGAAUGGGCCACCAAGCGGGACAGGCUGCUCUUACUAGGCAGUGGUGUGGGCACAGUACGUCUCUAUGACACGGAAGCCAAGAAGAAUCUCUGUGAGAUCAGCAUCCAUGACGAUAUGCCCAGAAUCCUGUCUCUUGCGUGCAGCCCCAAUGGGGCUUCUUUCAUCUGCUCGGCUGCAGCUCCAAGCCUCACCUCGCAGGUUGACUCCUCUGUACCAGACAUUGGCAACAAGGGCACAAACCAGGUUCCUGGCAAGUUGCUGCUGUGGGACACGAAAACCAUGAAGCAGCAGCUCGAGUUCUCCGUGGACCCAGAGCCCAUUGCUAUCAACUGCACGGCUUUCAAUCACAACGGGAACCUGCUGGUCACUGGGGCAGCUGAUGGCGUCAUUAGGCUGUUCGACAUGCAGCAGCAUGAGUGCGCCAUGAGCUGGCGGGCCCACUGCGGAGAGGUGUACUCUGUGGAAUUCAGCUGCGACGAGAACGCCGUGUACAGCAUUGGGGAGGAUGGCAAGUUUAUUCAGUGGAACAUCCACAAGAGUGGCUUGAAAGUGUCUGACCACAGCCUCCCCUCGGACGCCACGGGCCCCUUUGUGCUGUCUGGUUACAGCGGCUACAAGCAGGUGCAAGUCCCCAGGGGCCGGCUUUUUGCUUUCGACUCAGAGGGCAACUACAUGCUGACAUGCUCUGCCACAGGGGGCGUCAUCUAUAAGCUGGGAGGUGAUGAGAAAGUCCUGGAGAGCUGCUUGAGCCUGGGUGGCCACCGGGCACCUGUGGUCACCGUGGACUGGAGCACUGCCAUGGACUGUGGGACUUGCCUCACUGCCUCUAUGGAUGGCAAGGUCAAGCUGACCACACUGCUGGCCCACAAGGUCUGACAGGCGGCUAAGGGAGCAUGGAACUAGCACCAUCUCGGGCAACAGGAUGGGACAGAACGCCCACUGCUAGCCCCUGCCAGCAAGUGUGCACCAUGGUGACUGGGACAGGAGCCUUGUGGGAUGGGUGACAUGUGCUUCCCGGAGACCAGAAGGAAAACUCAGGGAGGACAGGCAGCGCAGGGCGCUGUGCAGGCCAAGGAGAGAGUGACAGUAUUCUGUGUAUAUUUGUUUAUUUGUCUUUUUUUUAAAAUGCUUUUGCCAUCAGCUGGUGUCCCUUUUCCCUGUGAUUGGGGACCAUGGUGGGCCUUACUUCCCCAUCAGCUCUCCUUGCCCUGUGCCCUGCAAGUCGCGGGGCCUUUGCCAGGGGUAGGACAGGGGCCCACAGCGUUCUGUUUCUGUCAGGCUCCAGGCAAAGUUGGAAUGUCCUCUGACUACCUGAGAGUUGGUGGAAUUUGUGACAGAAGCCACUUAGGAUAGGUAGGGGAUGUGCCUCUGGUGCCUGUGGUUAUGAGUGACUCUCUCUGGGUCUUACUCUCAUUCUUCACCUUGGCAUUGUUGGGACUGAAUGGUGCCUGCUCCCUGUGCCCUCUGCUGGUGAAUAGCGAGACAGUCAGCAAUGGCCAAGUUUCCUGAAGGGCACGAGGAUUUCCUUCCCACUCUUGGGUCUGAGCUGAGCCUGGGCCAGCUGUGUCCGCACCCCUGCCCUAGGCCUGCACCCAACUCCCUGGCCUGGUACCCUGAAGAGGCAGAUUUGCCACAGGUGGGGAACCACCAUCCUGUCCCUCCUGCAUUCCACAGCUGAGGCUGGGCUCCUGUAGCAGGCACCAUGGGGUUGAAGGGCCAGGGCCUGGGCUUGGGGUUCCCAUACCGGAAGGGUGACCUUGUCACUUACCCAGAGAAGGCCACUGCUUGAGCUGCCUGAAACAGUCAUUGAGAGCACAGGGCUGGCAUGGGGACUUUCCUGGGUACCUACUCUUGGAAAAGCACAAAGGUCCUAAGGCCAUGGCUCCCCUCUGUUACAGCUGAGGAAAGGUAAGAAGUACUAGGUGUGUAGAUGAUGGGAGAAAACAUCAGGGUCUUAGCAGUAAGUAGUUGCCCGUUUUCAGCCAUUUUAGCCCCUCAAAGAAAACCCAGUGUUUUCCACUCACAUUCUUCCAUCUUUAGCACUGAAACAGCAGCCUCAUCUGUUCCACCCAGUGAUCUGAAGGACAUUCACCCAAUGACCCUGGCUUUCAUUUGGGCUGAAUGCAAGACUCCCCUCCUCACAGUUUCUGUGUCGCAUGCCUACAGCUGGCUGACUGUCCCUACAGAUACCUGCCUGCAUUCUGCCUGCAGGCUCGGGCCCAAAUCCAGCCCCUGGGCAUUCAAAUGGGCAGGGCUCAUUAU